GACGAACGCUAGCGGUAUGCUUAACACAUGCAGGUCGAGGGGCAGCAUGGUGUUAUCUUGCUAAGACUGAUUGGCACCGGCGCACGGGACCGUAACGCGUAUUCAACUUGCCUCACGGAUGGGUUUAACCCGUCGGAGGACAUACCAAUACCGCGUACACUCUGCAUAGUGCGGCCUGACCCAAUUCAAUGAAUUUCGCUGUGAGAUAGGCAUGCGUCCCAUUAGCUAGUUGGUGAGGUAACGGCUCACCAAGCCGAUGAUGGGUAGGGGAAGUGAGAGGGGGAACCCCGAGACGGGUACUGAGACAAGGACCAGACUGCUACGGGAGGGAGCAGUGAGGGAUAUUGGACAAGGGGAGAGAGCAUGAACCAGCCAAGUCGCGUGAAGGAUGACUGUCUUAUGGAUUGUAACCUUCUUUUAUAAGGGAAUAACAAGAGCUACGUGUGGCUGACUGAAUGUAACGUAUGAAUAAGCAUCGGCUAACUACGUG
rnacentral:rRNA from 1 species